rnacentral:rRNA from 1 species
GACGAACGCUGGCGGCGUGCCUAAUACAUGCAAGUUGAGCGCUGAAGGUUGGUACUUGUACCAACUGGAUGAGCAGCGAACGGGUGAGUAACGCGUGGGGAAUCUGCCUUUGAGCGGGGGACAACAUUUGGAAACGAAUGCUAAUACCGCAUAAAAACUUUAAACACAAGUUUUAAGUUUGAAAGAUGCAAUUGCAUCACUCAAAGAUGAUCCCGCGUUGUAUUAGCUAGUUGGUGAGGUAAAGGCUCACCAAGGCGAUGAUACAUAGCCGACCUGAGAGGGUGAUCGGCCACAUUGGGACUGAGACACGGCCCAAACUCCUACGGGAGGCAGCAGUAGGGAAUCUUCGGCAAUGGACGAAAGUCUGACCGAGCAACGCCGCGUGAGUGAAGAAGGUUUUCGGAUCGUAAAACUCUGUUGGUAGAGAAGAACGUUGGUGAGAGUGGAAAGCUCAUCAAGUGACGGUAACUACCCAGAAAGGGACGGCUAACUACGUGCCAGCAGCCGCCGUAA